AUAAGUACAAGUUUAAUUUUGAGUAUCAAUAGAUUAUAUUUUUAAUGGUUAAAGUGGCUUGUGUAGAAUUAGUUCUUUCUACUUUUAAUAAUUUAGACAGAACCAAUACCCUUUGACUUAGUCUCUCAACAAAGUUAAAAUGUCUUUCAAUUAUUUAGGCACAAUCCAAUUCUUUUUUUUUUUUGGUCUGAAAUGCACAACAUGAUAUUGAUGAGAAUACAAUAGCAAGUGUAGCUGUUUCAAAAAUGUACUGGCCAUUACCUUGCAACCACAAGGUCAUACACAGAAGAGCCCGUACUUACACAACCCACUUUUUUUGACUUGGACUCUCUUUUUAAGUAUAGCAUUAAUGUACUCAAAAUCAAGAAGAAAAUUAAAAGC
rnacentral:lncRNA from 1 species